UGGAGAGAACCGACACAGGUACCAUAUGGAAUAUGGUAGCAAGGGUGACCUUGAACUCAGGUUGGCCUGACAUGACUGAGCGGGUACUAAGUGUAAUAUAUGCACCCAUGCCUUGCACUUGCACGCACCACGAUGCCAUGUAUAAAAAGUAAAGGUUCAUUACAUACCUUGAGAUAAAUUGGCCAUGUGGGCUCCAUAUGAACCUUCUUGCGAGUGCCAGCUUCGAUGUCCUCCGCUGCAUUAUAAUAUACAGUUAUUACUUCUUGAAGAAGGGGGCUUAUUCAGGCCUAAAGAGGCAAUAUUGUUGUAUGUGUUUUUAUUCAGGCUCAAAGCAUCUUCUACAGGGCACAGACCAAUAUCAGACCAGGCGGUUGGGUCAGCUGGCCUGGUCUGCUGAGCGAC